UAGGGAAUCUUCCGCAAUGGACGCAAGUCUGACGGAGCAACGCCGCGUGAGUGAAGAAGGAUUUCGGUUCGUAAAACUCUGUUGUUAGAGAAGAACAGCGCAUAGAGUAACUGUUAUGCGUGUGACGGUAUCUAACCAGAAAGCCACGGCUAACUACGUGCCAGCAGCCGCGGUAAUACGUAGGUGGCAAGCGUUGUCCGGAUUUAUUGGGCGUAAAGCGAGCGCAGGCGGUCAAUUAAGUCUGAUGUGAAAGCCCCCGGCUCAACCGGGGAGGGUCAUUGGAAACUGGUUGACUUGAGUGCAGAAGAAGAGAGUGGAAUUCCAGGUGUAGCGGUGAAAUGCGUAGAUAUAUGGAGGAACACCAGUGGAGAAGGCGACUCUCUGGUCUGUAACUGACGAUGAGGCUCGAAAGCGUGGGGAGCGAACAGG
rnacentral:rRNA from 1 species